rnacentral:rRNA from 1 species
AGCGAACGCUGGCGGCAGGCCUAACACAUGCAAGUCGAACGAACUCUUCGGAGUUAGUGGCGGACGGGUGAGUAACACGUGGGAACGUGCCUUUUGGUUCGGAAUAACUCAGGGAAACUUGUGCUAAUACCGAAUGUGCCCUUCGGGGGAAAGAUUUAUCGCCAUUUGAGCGGCCCGCGUCUGAUUAGCUAGUUGGUGAGGUAACGGCUCACCAAGGCGACGAUCAGUAGCUGGUCUGAGGGGAUGACCAGCCACACUGGGACUGAGACACGGCCCAGACUCCUACGGGAGGCAGCAGUGGGGAAUCUUGCGCAAUGGGCGAAAGCCUGACGCAGACAUGCCGCGUGAAUGAUGAAGGUCUUAGGAUUGUAAAAUUCUUUCACCGGGGACGAUAAUGACGGUACCCGGAGAAGAAGCCCCGGCUAACUUCGUG